UACGGGGGGAGCAAGCGUUGUUCGGAUUUACUGGGCGUAAAGGGCGCGUAGGCGGCCACCGCAAGUCGGUUGUGAAAUCUCCGGGCUUAACCCGGAAAGGUCAAUCGAUACUGCGGGGCUAGAGUGCAGAAGGGGCAACUGGAAUUCUCGGUGUAGCGGUGAAAUGCGUAGAUAUCGAGAGGAACACCUGCGGCGAAGGCGAGUCUCUGGGAUGAUGCUGACGCUGAGGCGCGAAAGCCAGGGGAGCAAACGGG
rnacentral:rRNA from 1 species